rnacentral:rRNA from 1 species
AAACGGGGUCUAAUACCGGAUACUGAUCCUCGCAGGCAUCUGCGAGGUUCGAAAGCUCCGGCGGUGCAGGAUGAGCCCGCGGCCUAUCAGCUAGUUGGUGAGGUAACGGCUCACCAAGGCGACGACGGGUAGCCGGCCUGAGAGGGCGACCGGCCACACUGGGACUGAGACACGGCCCAGACUCCUACGGGAGGCAGCAGUGGGGAAUAUUGCACAAUGGGCGAAAGCCUGAUGCAGCGACGCCGCGUGAGGGAUGACGGCCUUCGGGUUGUAAACCUCUUUCAGCAGGGAAGAAGCGAAAGUGACGGUACCUGCAGAAGAAGCGCCGGCUAACUACGUGCCAGCAGCCGCGGUAAUACGUAGGGCGCAAGCGUUGUCCGGAAUUAUUGGGCGUAAAGAGCUCGUAGGCGGCUUGUCACGUCGGUUGUGAAAGCCCGGGGCUUAACCCCGGGUCUGCAGUCGAUACGGGCAGGCUAGAGUUCGGUAGGGGAGAUCGGAAUUCCUGGUGUAGCGGUGAAAUGCGCAGAUAUCAGGAGGAACACCGGUGGCGAAGGCGGAUCUCUGGGCCGAUACUGACGCUGAGGAGCGAAAGCGUGGGGAGCGAACAGGAUUAGAUACCCUGGUAGUCCACGCCGUAAACGGUGGGCACUAGGUGUGGGCAACAUUCCACGUUGUCCGUGCCGCAGCUAACGCAUUAAGUGCCCCGCCUGGGGAGUACGGCCGCAAGGCUAAUACUCAUAGGAAUUGACG